CUGCUGCCUCCCGUAGGAGUCUGGGCCGUGUCUCAGUCCCAAUGUGGCCGUCCGCCCUCUCAGGCCGGCUACUGAUCGUCGCCUUGGUAGGCCGUUACCCUCCCAACCAGCUAAUCAGACGCGGGCCCAUCUUAUACCACCUCAGUUUUUCACACUGCGUCAUGCGCCGCUGUGCGCUUAUGCGGUAUUAGCAGCUGUUUCCAGCUGUUAUCCCCCUGUAUAAGGCAAGUUGCCCACGCGUUA
rnacentral:rRNA from 1 species